rnacentral:rRNA from 1 species
AUACGUAGGGCGCAAGCGUUGUCCGGAAUUAUUGGGCGUAAAGAGCUCGUAGGCGGUUUGUCGCGUCUGCUGUGAAAACCCGAGGCUCAACCUCGGGCUUGCAGUGGGUACGGGCAGACUAGAGUGCGGUAGGGGAGACUGGAAUUCCUGGUGUAGCGGUGGAAUGCGCAGAUAUCAGGAGGAACACCGAUGGCGAAGGCAGGUCUCUGGGCCGCAACUGACGCUGAGGAGCGAAAGCAUGGGGAGC